GUUUGAUCCUGGCUCAGAACGAACGCUGGCGGCGGGCCUCAUACAUGCAAGUCGAGCGCGAAAGUCCGCAAGGAUGAGUAAAGCGGCGCACGGGUGAGUAACACGUGGGUAAUCUACCUCUUGGAUUGGAAUAACCUGUCGAAAGACGGGCUAAUACCGAGUAAGUUCUCUUUUUCGUGAAGUUGAAGAGAAGAAAGAUGGCGCAAGCUAUCGCCGAGAGAUGAGCCUGCGUCCCAUUAGUUAGUUGGUGAGGUAACGGCUUACCAAGACAAUGAUGGGUACCUGGUCUGAGAGGAUGACCAGGCACACUGGAACUGAAACACGGUCCAGACUCCUACGGGAGGCAGCAGUAGGGAAUAUUGCGCAAUGGACGAAAGUCUGACGCAGCCACGCCGCGUGAGUGAGGAAGGCCUUCGGGUUGUAAAGCUCUGUCGCCUGGGAAAAACGGCUAUCUGGGGAAAGUUCAGGUAGCGUGAUGGUACCAGGAAAGGAAGCACCGGCAAACUCUGUGCCAGCAGCCGCGGUAAUA
rnacentral:rRNA from 1 species